AAGCUUUUUGCUCGGGUUAUGU
rnacentral:miRNA from 1 species